rnacentral:lncRNA from 1 species
AGGCGGAAAGCAGCAGUGUGGCUCAGUGGCAAGAGCCCGGGUUGUCAGCCAGAGGUCAUGGGUUCGAAUCCCGACUCUGCCCCUUGUCAGCUGUGUGACUGUGGGCGAGUCACUUCACUUCUCUGGGCCUCAGUUCCCUCAUCUGGAAAAAGGGGAUGAAGACUGGGGGACCACCUGAUGCCCCUGGAUCUCCCCCAGCGCUUAGAACAGUGCUCUGCACAUAGGAAGUGCUUAAAAAAUACCAACUUUGUUAUCUGGAAAAUGAGGAUGAAGACUGGGAGACCACCUGAUGCCCCUGGAUCUCCCCCAGCGCUUAGAACAGUGCUCUGCACGUAGUAAGCGCUUAACAAAUACCAACUUUGUUAUCUGGAAAAUGGGGAUGAAGACUGGGAGACCACCUGAUGACCCUGGAUCAUCCCCAGCGCUUAGAACAGUGCUCUGCACGUAGGAAGCGCUUAACAAAUACCAACAUUAUUAUUAUUAAAGAGUCCGUUUUUAAUCCCUGAGGCGCCUAAGGAAGAUUUUCUUAGGAGUAAGGGUAUUGAUGGGGCGCUUACUGUGUGCAGAGGAGCGGGCCGUGCGGUGGGGAGGCUGCGGGGUGUCCGGAGAGGGGGGAGCGGAGGGGCCCAGGGGAGGAGCGGCCCGGGGGGCGGGGAGGUGGGCGGGGGGCUCCGGCCCGGGCCCCCAGGGGCUCCCCGCGGGACGGACGGCGGCUCCGGCCCGGCGGCGCCCGCGGGACCGGCCGAAGGACCGAUCGCAGGACCGGCCGCAGGACCGGCCGCAGGACCGGCCGGGCCCGUGCAGCGGCGGGUACCACCCCUGGCCGGCCCCCCCCCCGGGGUCGCUCGGCCCCCACCCUCCUCUGGACUCCUCUUCCCCCGUCAGGAGCUUGUGCUGCGCGGUGCGGUGCGGUGCGCUCCCCUCCGCUCCCCUCCGGACGGCGGCUUCAGCGGCGCCGGCAGAGCACCGAUCCUCCCCGCUCCUCCACCCCCUCCAACGACUUACUGCUCCUAGAGGCCUGCGUUUAAAUGCUUUCACUGAGGACCGUCCAACAUUCCUGUCCACAUUUUCGAAGCUCCCCCAUCCAGCCUUGAAACUCACCUUCCAACCCCGGUACCUGGGCUUUAGCAGUGGCUUCCCCUACCACCCAGCGGGGAGGAGAUGCCGAGACUGUGUGUGAUGUCAGCUCCCUGGGGGCCAGAGCCUUUGGGAAUCUGCAGGAACAAAUAGAGCAGCACAAACUUGUCAGGAUGAACAGAAGGCUGUCCAAAUCUCGGGUGUUAAACUCAUCUGGUCACCUACUAACCGAUAUAAUUACUUAAAAUGCCGAUCAAUCAAAUCAGCGUAUUUAAUGAGCACUUACUGUGUGCAGAGAAUUCUACUAAGUGCUUGGGGGAGUAGAGUAUAACAGAUUCAAAGCAACAUCUUCCCAAGGAAAGAAGACACAAAUCUUCUAGGAAGUUCCA